UACAGAGGGUGCGAGCGUUAAUCGGAAUUACUGGGCGUAAAGCGCGCGUAGGCGGCUUUGCAAGUCGGGUGUGAAAUCCCCAGGCUUAACCUGGGAACUGCAUUCGAGACUGCAUUGCUAGAGUAUGGGAGAGGGAAGUGGAAUUUCCGGUGUAGCGGUGAAAUGCGUAGAUAUCGGAAGGAACAUCAGUGGCGAAAGCGACUUCCUGGUCCAGCAUCGACGUUCAGGCACGAAAGCGUGGGGAGCAAACAGG
rnacentral:rRNA from 1 species